rnacentral:tRNA from 1 species
CGGGGCGUAGCGCAGCCUGGUAGCGCGUUAGCAUGGGGUGCUAAAGGUCGUGGGUUCAAAUCCCGCCGUCCCGACCA